UACGCGCGGGGGCCAGUACAGGAGGAUGACCAGCGGAGGGAUAUUACCGAGUUUACAACUCCCAAACCCAAUGUGAACGUUACCAAACUGUUGCCUCGGCGGGAUCUCUGCCCCGGGUGCGUCGCAGCCCCGGACCAAGGCGCCCGCCGGAGGACCAACCAAAACUCUUAUUGUAUACCCCCUCGCGGGUUUUUUUAUAAUCUGAGCCUUCUCGGCGCCUCUCGUAGGCGUUUCGAAAAUGAAUCAAAACUUUCAACAACGGAUCUCUUGGUUCUGGCAUCGAUGAAGAACGCAGCGAAAUGCGAUAAGUAAUGUGAAUUGCAGAAUUCAGUGAAUCAUCGAAUCUUUGAACGCACAUUGCGCCCGCCAGUAUUCUGGCGGGCAUGCCUGUCCGAGCGUCAUUUCAACCCUCGAACCCCUCCGGGGGGUCGGCGUUGGGGAUCGGCCCUGCCUUGGCGGUGGCCGUCUCCGAAAUACAGUGGCGGUCUCGCCGCAGCCUCUCCUGCGCAGUAGUUUGCACACUCGCAUCGGGAGCGCGGCGCGUCCACAGCCGUUAAACACCCAACUUCUGAAAUGUUGACCUCGGAUCAGGUAGGAAUACCCGCUGAACUUAAGCAUAUCAAUAAGCGGAGGAAAAGAAACCAACAGGGAUUGCCCCGUUAACGGCGAUNNUUUUACUUUNANGAAUAAUUAAAAUAUAAAAAUGAAUAAUUUUUUUAUUUUUUAUUUUUCCAUCUCGACCAUCAAAGAGAACACUGCUAUUGUCAUUUUAAACUACCCACUAUGGUGAAAUUGUAGACCUCUGAAGACAGCGNUAAAAGCCACGCUNNUGAACAUUUUUGUAUAUANCUUUCUGAAUCGGGGAUGUUUAAGGUUCUCCCAUUAAAUUUCCUUGNAGCGCAUUAUUUAAAAUUCUGCACGGUCCCGAAAUCUAAGUGGACGUCUCCAUCCCGGCNAUUANAAUGAAGGAAUUGNUCUUUUUGAGGAGAAAGAGAGGAANACCACCGAUNNNGAGGCGUAGUUAAGUAAAUGGUUCCCUUUACGUAUGUUGUGGCUGGGAGACCUGGGAAAUGNGUCCGGUUAUAAAUUAAUAUGGUGGCGAGGGCGAUGAUGUGCACGCUACUUAGACGCAUCGUUUAAGCGAGGCUGUUCGUCGAGCGCAGCGCCUCUUGCGUGGGGCGAGGGCUNCANANGAGGGGGUAUNNACGANCNGAUUUUUUGUUNUGUNNGNGGAGUGGGUGNGAAUGAGGGNGGGAUUGCUGGNGCGNGCUAUGAUGGUGGCCUANGAGCUCGUUUUUUGAGUGCCUAUGGCGGAGGCGGNCCCAUGCGG
rnacentral:misc_RNA from 1 species